AACAGGGAUUGCCCUAGUACGGCGAGUGAGCGGCAACAGCUCAAAUUUGAAAGCUAGCCUUCGGGUUCGCAUUGUAAUUUGUAGAGGAUGAUUUGGGGAAGCCGCCUGUCUAAGUUCCUUGGAACAGGACGUCAUAGAGGGUGAGAAUCCCGUAUGUGACAGGAAAUGGCACCCUAUGUAAAUCUCCUUCGACGAGUCGAGUUGUUUGGGAAUGCAGCUCUAAAUGGGAGGUAAAUUUCUUCUAAAGCUAAAUAUUGGCGAGAGACCGAUAGCGCACAAGUAGAGUGAUCGAAAGAUGAAAAGCACUUUGGAAAGAGAGUUAAAAAGCACGUGAAAUUGUUGAAAGGGAAGCGCUUGCAAUCAGACUUGUUUAAACUGUUCGGCCGGUCUUCUGACCGGUUUACUCAGUUUGGACAGGCCAGCAUCAGUUUCGGCGGCCGGAUAAAGGCUCUGGGAAUGUGGCCUCCACUUCGGUGGAGGUGUUAUAGCCCAGGGUGUAAUACGGCCAGCCGGGACUGAGGUCCGCGCUUCGGCUAGGAUGCUGGCGUAAUGGUUGUAAGCGACCCGUC
rnacentral:rRNA from 1 species